GGGGGCGAAAUAGGAUCGACGAGGGUGUAAAGGGCAUACUUUCGCUCGGCAUGGUUCCGCCGUCAUCGGGCCGAACUGAUAGUUGCGAAUGACAACUAUGCUCCGGUUGCUCAGGCCGCGUGAGCGGUUUGACGAUCGAAAUCAAAGUCCUACCGGGUAGCACUGGCUAGGCGGGGUUCGGAGGCACCUGGCAACAGAAGCCUCCACU
rnacentral:tmRNA from 1 species